AGGGCUAUAGCUCAGUUAGGUAGAGCACCUCGUUUACACCGAGACGGUCUA
rnacentral:tRNA from 1 species